CUGGUGGCCUAGCGGUAAGAGCGUGCGACUUGCAAUCCGGAGGUCGCGGGUUCGAACCCCGGCUUGUACCAAUGAGUUUUUCGGAACUUAUGUACAGUCAGCGCCAAAUACUUUGUAGCAGUCAAAGUGGCCAAAUAGUUCGGUACACCAUACUAAAUAUAUGGUGU